rnacentral:rRNA from 1 species
UACGUAGGGGGCUAGCGUUGUCCGGAAUCAUUGGGCGUAAAGAGCGUGUAGGCGGCCCGGUAAGUCCGCUGUAAAAGUCAAAGGCUUAACCUUUGAAUGUCAGUGGAUACUGCCGGGCUAGAGUCCGGAAGAGGCGAGUGGAACUCCUGGUGUAGCGGUGGAAUGCGCAGAUAUCAGGAAGAACACCAACGGCGAAGGCAGCUCGCUAGGACGGUACUGACGCUGAGACGCGAAAGCGUGGGGAGCGAACAGGG